rnacentral:misc_RNA from 1 species
UCGAUGCAAACACUGCACUAGUCUCAAAUCUGUCAAAGUAGUUCGACUUAAUAGGCCCAGUGACAAAAUUUACUUGUGAAAUUGAACAAAUUAUUAUUAUCGGUUUCACUUAAGCAAGGAUAUCGAUUUCCUUAUGUAAUAUGGAAAGCUGUUGGUGAAAUGACACAAUUAAAAAAAACUUACGCUUGAAGGAUUUAUUAACGAGAACGUCUUUCUUUCAGUUUACGAAAUAAAGAA